CGCGGCCUAUCAGCUUGUUGGUGAGGUAACGGCCCACCAAGGCGACGACGGGUAGCCGGCCUGAGAGGACGAUCAGCCACACUGGGACUGAGACACGGCCCAGACUCCUACGGGAGGCAGCAGUAGGGAAUCUUGCGCAAUGGGCGAAAGCCUGACGCAGCAACGCCGCGUGGGGGAUGAAUGCCUUCGGGUUGUAAACCCCUUUCAGCAGGGACGAAAAUGACGGUACCUGCAGAAGAAGCUCCGGCCAACUACGUGCCAGCAGCCGCGGUAAUACGUAGGGAGCGAGCGUUGUCCGGAAUUAUUGGGCGUAAAGAGCUCGUAGGCGGUUCAGUAAGUCGGGUGUGAAAACUCAAGGCUCAACCUUGAGACGCCACUCGAUACUGCUGUGACUUGAGUCCGGUAGAGGAGUGUGGAAUUCCUGGUGUAGCGGUGAAAUGCGCAGAUAUCAGGAGGAACACCAGCGGCGAAGGCGGCACUCUGGGCCGGUACUGACGCUGAGGAGCGAAAGCAUGGGGAGCAAACAGGAUUAGAUACCCUGGUAGUCCAUGCCGUAAACGUUGGGCACUAGGUAUGGGAUCAUAUCAACGGAUUCCGUGCCGUAGCUAACGCAUUAAGUGCCCCGCCUGGGGAGUACGG
rnacentral:rRNA from 1 species